rnacentral:lncRNA from 1 species
CUAUUACUUGCCAUUUUUAUUUGUCACUAGCCUCACCAACAUUUUCUCCUGCUAAUCUAAAUUUAGAAGAGCAAAAGCUCACCACUCUUGCUUCCAUUGGACUCUGUAGGCAGAGAUCCGGGAGACUGAUGUGGUAAGAACCCUUACCUCUUGCCGGCUCUUGUCAGGGGUCCGGGAUCUCUCAGCUGCAGCAGUCCAGGAGCAAGCAGUGCCCAGCCAGUGAAAUUUUAUCCUGCUGACUAUGCCAAAACUGUAGGGGAGGAAGACAUUUCCUCUUCCCAAAUGUGGGUUCGUCUGGCUGGAGAACGAAUUAAAUUCACAUGAGACAGAAAAGCAAGAGAAAAUUAAACAAAGCUUUAUGAGGAACCAUGGCCCGGGCCCUUUCUUCCCGAAGGAAGAAAGGGCACCGAAGAAGUGGGGUGCACAUAGUGGUUAUAUACCCCCCAAACAAGGUGUUUCACAUAUGAUUGAAAUGUCCCUCCCACAAUAGAGGCAAGUCUAUUGUCUGGAGCUGGGCGGUCACAGGUGAGUGCAGUAAUGAGUUCCUAGCCUAAGGAAAGAUGCUUAAUCCUUAAAGAAAUGCCAACAUUGGGAGGGGGAGGGAAGUCAGUUACAGGAGGUUACCAGACUAGCACAAUAAAAUGCAGAUUUAAGUCCUUGCCUUUGGUAUUGAUUAAGAGUUUCUAGAGAGAAGGGCAUCUCCUUUCUUCUUCCUGGUACAGAGAGGGAGGCACAUAUUACAGAUGGAGAUUUACCUUACAAAUGUAAACGUGUCCUAACAAAGGGCAAGUUCCAUUCCUCAGAGCCUUCUUCCCUGUCCCAGUUUAUCAAAAGCAAUCAGCUUCAAAUAAUCCUGAUACCAAAGAGACAUAUCUUGGGGUGGCCAAUUUCAGGUCCCUACACAACCAAACUUUCAAUAAAACUAUUGUGGAAUUUUGAAGCCUUUGCUUUUAACUGCAUGCACUUUUAAAUGAUAGUAUCAAAUCAGGAUGUUCCUUCUACUGCCAGUUGUAAUUUCAAAUCAUCCUUAGUAAUCUUGGUUCACUGGGAUUAAAAUUUACAAGAGAAGGGACCAUAUGUUUUCCACAGAAAACCAGCUGGAGAUCCUGAGGGAGGAACUUCUCAAGGAACUUCAGGAAAUAAGAGUCCCAUGUUAAAGAAAAGGGGGCAAACAAAACAGUAAGAAUGACAACAGGGAAACCCAUCAAUUAUGUCAGAGUGCUCACCAAGCAGGGGGGAGAAAACUCUGCAAGGGAAGUCCU